rnacentral:rRNA from 1 species
GACGAACGCUAGCGGCGUGCUUAACACAUGCAAGUCGAACGCUGAAGCUCAGCUUUUGUUGGGUGGAUGAGUGGCGAACGGGUGAGUAACACGUGAGUAACCUGCCCCCUUCUUUGGGAUAACGCCCGGAAACGGGUGCUAAUACUGGAUAUUCACUGGUCUUCGCAUGGGGGUUGGUGGAAAGGGUUUUUCUGGUGGGGGAUGGGCUCGCGGCCUAUCAGCUUGUUGGUGGGGUGAUGGCCUACCAAGGCUUUGACGGGUAGCCGGCCUGAGAGGGUGACCGGUAACAUUGGGACUGAGAUACGACCCAGACUCCUACGGGAGGCAGCAGUGGGGAAUAUUGCACAAUGGGCGCAAGCCUGAUGCAGCGACGCCGCGUGAGGGAUGGAGGCCUUCGGGUUGUGAACCUCUUUCGCUCAUGGUCAAGCCGCAACAAUGGUUGUGGUGAGGGUAGUGGGUAAAGAAGCGCCGGCUAACUACGUG